AAACUCAGUGACUGGCGCUAAGUCGUAACAAGGUAGCCGUAGGGGAACCUGCGGCUGGAUCACCUCCUUU
rnacentral:rRNA from 1 species